rnacentral:lncRNA from 10 species
CGUAUAGUUUGUUAAUAUCAGAAAGAAUGCAAUUCACUGAUAUUUACUGAACACGUACAUGAAAAGCACAGUGACCACCUCUUUGGCCGGGAAGUGAGUGCACUCAAAGCAGGAUUUCCUGGCAACUGCUCCAGUAAUGUCUUACUGAGAAUGGAGAAAUCUGGAGGAUAAGAGGAAAGAGGAAAAAUGGUAAAUUACAGACUGUUUCAACAGCAAAACAAAGGACUCUAGAGAAAAUCGGGAAACUCCAGUCCUUUGGGGAGGGUAGAAACAAUGCACUAUUGUUUUCUAGAAGUCUUCAUGGAAGAUAUUUUAUCCAUGGAACUGCACACUGUGGAAGCCUUGCAGAACCCGUGUCACAUCUUAGGGACACACGUCCCAGCCUGCUGGAAAUCUGAAGAACCCAGUAUGGGGGAGAGGAAGCAGUGUGCAGACCAUCUAGUGACAUCCAUUAAUUCAUGGAGGAGGGAAUUGAGGUCCA